rnacentral:rRNA from 1 species
UACAGAGGUGGCAAGCGUUGUUCGGAAUUACUGGGCGUAAAGGGCGCGUAGGCGGUCUUGUAAGUCUUGUGUGAAAUCCCUCGGCUUAACUGAGGAACUGCACGGGAUACUGCGAGACUUGAGAUCGGGAGAGGGAAGCGGAACUCCGGGUGUAGCGGUGAAAUGCGUAGAUAUCCGGAGGAACACCGGUGGCGAAGGCGGCUUCCUGGACCGACACUGACGCUGAGGCGCGAAAGCUAGGGGAGCAAACGGG